rnacentral:tRNA from 1 species
CAAAACAUAGCUUAAUAAAGCAUCUCGCUUACACCGAGAAGACAUUUGUGGCACUCAAAUUGUUUUGA